UGAGGAACAUGACCCUCGGCGGGGGAUAGCCGGCCCAACGGCCGGGUAAUACCGCGUACGACCACAUGGGGACAUCCCUGAGUGGUGAAAGCAGCAAUGCGCCGAUGGAGUGCCUCGCGGCCUACCAGCUAGUUGGUGAGGUAACGGCUCACCAAGGCGACGACGGGUAGCUGGUCUGAGAGGAUGGCCAGCCACAUUGGGACUGAGACACGGCCCAGCUCCGUAGG
rnacentral:rRNA from 1 species